UCUCCCUUCAUUUUUCCUCAGUUUCACUCUUCAUUUCUUCGGUCGUAUCUCCACCACCACCACCACCAUCACCAUGAAACGGGAUCUCUUUUUCUAUCACGAUGACCACCAUCAUCUUCCCAUCUUCAUCAUCUUCAUAUUCUCGGUUGUCAAUUUUUCUAUCUUCAGUUUUAUUUGAAUCUGAUAAAAAGAUUACAUUUUUGUUUUGGUGAAGGUUUGAAGAGAUACUACGACCAAAACAUUCACGAUCUAGUACUCAUGCAGCAAAAGCAAACUAAUAACCUAAAUCGGUUAUAAGCUCAAAGGAAUGAUCUUAACUCCAAAGUGAGGAUGCUUAGGGAAAAGCUGCAGCGUCUCCAGGAUGGAUCCUAUGUUGUUGAAGUCGUGAAGGAAGCCGAGGAACCAAAGGUAGGAUUCGAUUCUUUCUUCUUCGGUAGGAUUGAUUACCAAGAUUUACAACAGCGUAAAAAUGAAAAGCGGCUCGAGUUUGUCUGGCAAGGUUCUAAGACCCUUGGUUCAUCAGCUCAGAUUUUUGCGGGUGCACUCACCAGAAAUUAUGAACCUCCCAGUAGUAACUUCUACUUCGAAGUUAAUGAUGCAUCUCCUAUUGUUCAGGCAAAUGUAACUCGAACAAAUCAUAUAAUGUGGACCAUGGGGACAGACUUUAAGUACCAAUACGCAAAUUCAUGAACCAAAGGUUGAUUGCUUCAGUGCCCUGCGAAUGAGUGUACCUGCAAUUGUGUCAUCUGCAGUUUCGCCAAGCAAGGACUUUAUUCAUUUGUAAAACCAUUAGAGGUUUUCUUGCUGGAGAAACUAUGCUAGCAGCUGGAAGGCUUGUUGCAGAAACUACAUAAUGAUAUCGUUGCCAUGUAUUUCGCCAGCAGUAUUCUCAUCCUUGCAGAAACGUCUUAAACAUGAGAGAACCUCUACCAUGCAUAGUUGCAACGAAAGGAAUACGUCAUUCAGAGUUUGUGCCGAUAAUUCAUUAAAUGCUUUAUCCACAGCCGAUAAAAGUUCGCCAACAGUAGUGCGCGCCUCUCUGUGCUGUAAUGAUUGUAUAGACCUGAAAAACCCAAGAUCAAGAACGUUCAUGUCGGGACUUUGUGAAGAUUCAAUUGGUUUAUCUUCAAGUGUUCCAGCCGGACGAUUCUUGCUCGUUCGUUUUGCUGCCUCCUUUGUUACAAAAGGAGAUAUACCUAUCUUUCCACUAAAAACUUCAUUGCCAAACUCAUCAAACCUAGGACGAGCUACUGCUGCCAAAAACAUUACCUUUUUAAUGAAUCUUUUACUUUGGCAUGUGCGAUAUGGUUCGGUUUCUUCAGGAUGAAGUUGACUUGGGCAUGUUCAGAGCUUCGGCAAUGGAUCUUAUGGUGGUGCGUCUUCGCAAUGGUAUCUCCAUAAUCUUGCUGAAAUCAACCUUCUUGGGUUUAGGACCAACUCUGGUUGGUUUUCGUGAAGACACGUCAAAAGGCUCCCAAAAGAGGUGUAAAGGCCCUAGUUAUAAUGAAUUCUUCAUUACAGUUUGUAAUCCUACAUGUGUAGUGUUUUACAUCUGCUACUAUGCUUCACAACUUAAGAUGAUUUCAAAAUGAGAUGGAGUACAUGCGUACAUAUGAAUCACCUGAAGUUUAUGAGUGAAGAGAGAUCUCAGAUUGAACCUCCUGAGUGAAGAGAGAUCUCAGAUUAAAUCACCUGAAGAGAGAUCUCAAUUUGAUUUUGGAACCCUGUUUUUGUAAAAACCAAAUUAAUCUGAAGUUCAGUAUACUUUUGAUUUUUCUUGUAGAGAUCAAAGUGAUUUUUAGAAAUUCGAACGAAUGAAUGUCGAGAAAUCCGACCAAACUGAUAUGUUGGGUUUCUGUAUUGAAAACGAAAUUUGAAUUUGUCGAUUUGAAAAUUUGGAGAUUGGGGGAAGGCAUA